AUACAACCCAAACCAAAUGAGGAUCUUAGGAGAGAGACAGAGAAUGCUGCACAUGUGGCAGCAGGCAGUAAUCAAGCCAACCACAAACACCUGCAGAAGAUCUCACUCCAAACCCUUGGAGGGAAGACAGCAGAGAGGCACUGUGGGCUGUAACAAACAGAAAUUCAAUUCAACCUCAUUAACGCUAAACAUUUUUCUCUUGUGAAAACACACACUCGCACAGUGUCAAGCAUCGGGGUCCAAAAUCCCACACAUACAGUGCAGCAAGGCAGCAACCCGCCAUGCAGUGAUGGAAGACCUUGGGUGUUAGCCUUGGCGUCAGCAGGAGAAAUGCAGUCUGGGAGCAGUAUCUCAGAGACGGACGUCCUAGGAACCUAAAGGUGAACCUGUAAUUUGCCACAGUGAUGGAAACUUCUUCUCAAGGAAGUGAGCAACUACGGUGGCUUGGCAGUAACACACCAGACAUUAGAGUCCGGUCACGUCUUCAUCCAAACCUCCACACAAAAGACAUGAUCUUUCUUCCAGAUGUAGAGCAACAAUGAAAAGCCCAACACCAGAUAAGGGUCAAAGAAAGGGAGGUCUCAUUGAUCAAUUCCAGACUAGAAGUGGCUGCCUGGUUCGGGGAGCAUCUCAUUAUCUGUGAUGCAAAACAGCUGAAAACACAGCGCACUCUCACCUUUAGGGUCAGCGUGGUAAAUGACCAUGAAAGCCCCUGAAAACAGCUGAUGUUCACGCAGUCGAUGGUGAUCUCACGCUUGACUAGUACGCACGGCCUUGCAAAAAUAUUUACAUUUUGUCAUGUUCCAACCACAAACUUUGCUUCGCCACAGCUUCUGUGAGAACAAAAGGUACUUUAGAAUAACAAUAGUUUUUUAUAUUUUUGGAAAUCAAAGUCUGAAAAUUUUGGUUAUGCCAUUUGUACUCUUGCUCUGAUAAUUGUAAAUACAAUUCAGUGCAAAUUGCCAUGAAAGAUUGCCUGGAACAAAGCCAGAAUUGACAGAAAACAAUAAAAAAAAAAAAAAAAAUCUGAGUUUGCAGCAAAUCAUGAGCAGAGUAAACGUAUGAAACAAGAUGCUCUGGUCAGAUGACACACAAGUUGAAUGUUUUGGUGCUAUUCAAAACAUUGUAUUUUGGAAAAUCAAUGCUGCUCAUCUCAACAAACCAUCCCACUCUGAGUCAUGGUGCCAUUAAAAGCACAUACAAAUAAUUCAAUUAGAGAGUUUGAGUUUCUGCCUUUAGAUUUUUUUUUUUGUCUUGAAAGACACAAUAAAUAGAAAUCUGCACAGAUACAUGUUGGAUGUGCUUUUUAAAUGUAACAUCUCGGAAAAUGUUUAUAUUGAGGAAUUUGGAUUUUGCAUGAGCAAAACUUUAGAUAAAAAGAAAACUUCUUGAAGGAAAACGGUAUGCAUCAGCUUUAGGUUUCAGGCUCUAAUUAUUAAACAGAUUCACCUAUGGGAGCUGGAUUGCUCUAAAGUUAUAAAUAACAGUUUUGGGACAAGCAAGUUGUAGCGUGCUUUCUGAUAAGACCAAGUUAACUAGUUAAGCGCAGGGGGAAAGAGAUGAAUUCAUAUUUACUUAAUUGUAAAGAGGCUUUUCAGUGGAGUAGUACUUAGUCCUGCCAUAUCAGCAACAGAAUCACUGUCAUACAUUUUUCAUGAUAUUAUGAACUCCAUGGUCCUCUGACAUGCUUGAUCAGAAGAGCAGCAAAAUGGGUCAUAGUCACUCUGCAAGAGCAGCAGAGAUCUAAUGGCCUGGUGGGAGAAACCUUUAAAAGGACAGCUGUUAAUUAUGCACCUCAGCCUGCUGGCCUAAUGGAAGAGUGUCGAGAAGCCUGUGUGUACGACCAUGAAGGAGACGCACCACAAAUAUGACCCUCACAUUUCUGAAAUAUUUCAAUAAUCUCUGAACACAGCAGUUCUGUGAAAGAGUUGAAACUGUUUAAACGUAAUAUAAGCAUAUUUGUGUAUAAGAAAGGGCUGAUAAAGGUCCAGACCUAAAUCCAGCUGGGAGUUUGUGAUGAGACUUGAAGGCUCGAGUGUUUUUGAAUGGUAAUGGGCAGAUUGCAGUCUCUAGAUGUAACAAAGCUGGCAGAGUUGCAGCCCUGUAUGACUUGCAGCUGCAAUUGCAGUGAAAGGUGAUUACACAAAAUAGUCUAUUGACUGAGGUGAGCUGUAUGCAACGAUGCUUAUCUCUGCAGCAUAUAAAACUCCUAUUGUAACACGAGGUACAGUUUGUUUUCCUGCUGCCUGUUCCAUUUUUCUUUUCGGUUUCCUAUAGCCUAAACGCUUUUGGUUGGUGGAAUUAUUGUCUUUUGUAGAUUUGUUCCAUGGAUUACUGUAGCAUGGAAAAACUAAACAACACAUAAAUCCCAAGCAUAUGAACUAGAUUUAAGACUGCUGGAUUCCUGUUGUUAGAAGUCAUAAUAAAAUAAACACACAUUAAAUUGUAGAACCAAAUUUACUUCCCGACUUUAGCUAAUGACGCAAAAUAGACCAUCUAAAAAAUAAAAUAAAAUAAAAUGUAUGCAAUAAAUUGGUCUCAUGAAACAGAAAAAGAGUCAUUAGGACCACAUGUGGGGUCUCUCUUUUGUUUUGAGAAGCCGAACGCGGCAAGGGGCGGGGGGAAGCAGAACGACUCAGAAAGGGAGGUCCUCUGCGUGUUAAAAACAAAAAAAACACUAAAUCCUCUUGGGGGAGACAAAAUGUGGUGGAACUACAUCAGCCCCUCUCUCCUUCGUCUCCAGCAGGAUUCACUGAUCACCCAUCCUCCUCGUCUUUAGAUAAAUUCUGAUGUCAGGAAUAAGGCGCUCCUUUUAACUCAAUCCGCCGUCCACGAGGGAAUGUGAGCGCCGUUAGAGGUCAGCGCCACAAGCUGCCAUUCCUGUCACCUCAAAUGACAAUGGAUGACACUAAUAGCAGGAGGAACCAUAAAACUUUAUCAGAUUAGAAGCACAAUGAAAGCAUGACAUAUUACUACUGGCUAAAGACCACAGUGGGAAAAGUCAAAGAUAGCAUUUCGCUCGAGUUUUACUGCCGUUUUAUUGCCUCCUCUUGUUUAUCCUUCGGAGGCAUUCUCUGGGCUUCACUCUUCCCUGUCUUGUGUUUAUUCCUCUGUUUUCCCAUAGCUUUGUUUUGUAAGCAUGAUUACUUUGAAAUGAACAUGCUGACGUGCUCUCCUAUUGGUUUGCAUUUUUCUUCCAGUGUGUAAGCUGCCAUCCAGGGGAAAAUAAAUGGCAACCCCCCUCUCC